GAUGAACGCUGGCGGCGUGCCUAAUACAUGCAAGUCGAGCGAACAGAUAAGGAGCUUGCUCCUUUGACGUUAGCGGCGGACGGGUGAGUAACACGUGGGUAACCUAUCUAUAAGACUGGAAUAACUCCGGGAAACCGGGGCUAAUGCCGGAUAACAUGUUGAACCGCAUGGUUCUACAGUGAAAGGCGGCUUUGCUGUCACUUAUAGAUGGACCCGCGCCGUAUUAGCUAGUUGGUGAGGUAACGGCUCACCAAGGCAACGAUCCGUAGCCGACCUGAGAGGGUGAUCGGCCACACUGGAACUGAGACACGGUCCAGACUCCUACGGGAGGCAGCAGUAGGGAAUCUUCCGCAAUGGGCGAAAGCCUGACGGAGCAACGCCGCGUGAGUGAUGAAGGUCUUCGGAUCGUAAAACUCUGUUAUUAGGGAAGAACAAAUGCGUAAGUAACUGUGCGCGUCUUGACGGUACCUAAUCAGAAAGCCACGGCUAACUACGUG
rnacentral:rRNA from 1 species